AGUGCCAAUAUUUAGCCCAAAAGUUUCAAACUCGAAGCUCUCCUACCAACUGCCAGCCAACAUCAACAGGGAGAGUGAGUAAAAGUAACCACCGCCAAUUCCGACAAUCCAAAAAGUCCAGAGCGAAAGGUCUCAUUCAGCCACAUUUGGCAUUGGCUAUCAUAAAGACCUUCACAACCAGAGACACAACUAAAACACGCAUUGCACCAAAGCCUCAAUCUUUCAGCUUCAGCCUUCAAUUAGCACAAAACAAAAUCUCUCUUUUCACUUUUUUUCCAACUAUCUCCGGCGAAACCCAUUUUCCGGCUGCUACCGUGAAGCGAAUUUCCGGCGGGUGGGUCGAGAAUGGCUGUGGAAGCUGAGAAAUCUGGGCCUGAUGGGAAGCUGUGGAGUCUAUUCAAAAAUCCAUUUGGGCAGUCGAGAAAUGCCUCUUCCUCUUCUUCUUCUUCGUCGUCUUCGACCUUGUCUUCUAUGCACAAUGUUCACCAGCUGGGUCAGACUCACGAGUCUGUGGAGCGUGCGGCUCUUCAUUCUGCCAGUACGGUGUCGUAUGUGACCAAGUCUUUGCUUCCUGCUAGGAGGAGGCUCCGUCUUGAUCCUGCUAAUAAGCUCUUUUUUCCAUAUGAACCUGGUAAGCAGGUCAAGAGUGCCAUUGGAAUUAAAAACACAAGCAAGUCUCAUGUAGCUUUCAAGUUCCAAACAACUGCACCAAAGAGUUGUUACAUGCGUCCUCCGGGGGGAAUACUUGCUCCGGGUGAAAGUCUUAUUGCAACUGUCUUCAAGUUUGUGGAACCUCCGGAGACCAAUGAAAAACUAGUAGACCAGAAGAGCAGGGUUAAGUUCAAGAUCAUGAGCUUGAAAGUGAAAGGAGAUAUGGACUACGUACCAGAACUGUUUGAUGAGCAGAAGGACCAAGUCGUGGUUGAGCAGGUUUUGCGUGUUGUUUUCCUGGAUCCUGAACGCCCUACCCUUGCGAUGGAAAAACUUAAGCGGCAAUUGGCUGAGGCUGAGGCUGCCCUCGAGGCACGAAAGAAGCCUCCAGAAGACACAGGCCCCCGGAUUGUAGGGGAAGGACUUGUCAUAGAUGAAUGGAAAGAGCGCAGGGAAAGGUACCUAGCCCAGCAGCAGGUUGAAGGGGUUGAUUCAGUGUAGAGUUAUGUUCCUUUUUGUUUAGAUCAUUUCUUUCUCUAGUGUGGAAGUUUCUAUAUAUGAUUGAAUUGUCGCCUAUUCAUGUGUGGAAGACCGUUGAGCAAUCUUAAAGAACUUAUGAUCUCUGUUCUAGCUGGCUGUUUGGGCUCACUUCUCUCUUGAGAUAUCCAACACAAACACCUCUCCAUACGGCUAAUUUGCUUACCAUAAGUUUUCUUCAUGAAUUUUGUAUUCUUGUAGAAAUGUUUGAUGCAGUUUGGGUUGUUUUCUCACAUAGAAUGG